rnacentral:rRNA from 1 species
UAGAUGUAUAGAGGGUGAGGCCUGCCCAAUGGUUGUAUCUAAAAGCGGUUGAUAAAAGUCGACCUCGUAAGGACAAUUGAAUGGCCGCGGUAACACUGACCGUGAUAAUGUAGCGUAAUCAAUAGCCAAUUAAUUGUUGGCCAGUAUGAAUGGCGCCACGAAGGCCCCACUGUCUUAAGGAAAUUCCCAGUGAAAUUGAAUUCGUAGUGAAGAUGCUACGUCCAAUUUGUUAGACGAAAAGACCCCGUUGAGCUUUACUGGGGCACUUACACGGCCCCGGCCUUCCAAACUAGGCUUACCAUGCCUAGGGGUCGGCCGAAUUUAAAUGGGCGGCUUAGAUUAUGUGGCAGCCCCCCGUCGGGGCAGAUGAAACCCCACUCCCCCAUGUCAAAGGGGCUAACCCCCCCCCUUGGGGGGGGACAGUGUAAGUAGGACAGUUUGGUUGGGGCGACCGCCUUUUAAAGAGUAACGAAGGUGCGCUUAAGGUGCGCAAAUAAUGACUGAAGCCUGACUGCGAGGGGGACACCCCGAGCAGACACCCCCAAGCCUGCCCGAAGGGCGGCGGUGGGGUGGGCCAUAGUGACCCGUUAAUUUAGAGUGGAAUAGUUAACGAUCAACGAAUAAAAGUUACCACGGGGAUAACAGCGUAAUAUCGUUAGAGAGUUCACAUCGACGACGAUGUUUGCGACCUCGAUGU